UACGUAGGGGGCAAGCGUUAUCCGGAUUUAUUGGGUGUAAAGCGUGUGUAGGCGGUUUCUUAAGUCUAAGGUUAAAGCCCGGAGCUCAACUCCGGCACGCCUUGGAAACUGGGUCACUUGAGUAUGGUAGAGGCAAAUGGAAUUUCUAGUGUAGCGGUAGAAUGCGUAGAUAUUAGAAGGAGCACCAGUGGCGAAGGCGAUUUGCUAGGCCAUCACUGACGCUGAGACACGAAAGCGUGGGGAGCAAAUA
rnacentral:rRNA from 1 species